rnacentral:rRNA from 1 species
UACGAAGGGGGCUAGCGUUAAUCGGAAUUACUGGGCGUAAAGCGUGCGUAGACGGCUAUCUAAGUCGGGCGUGAAAGCCCCGGGCUCAACCUGGGAAUUGCAUUCGAGACUGAAUAGCUAGGGUACGGUAGAGGGAAGUGGAAUUUCCGGUGUAGCGGUGAAAUGCGUAGAUAUCGGAAGGAACAUCAGUGGCGAAAGCGACUUCCUGGACCAGUACCGACGUUCAGGCACGAAAGCGUGGGGAGCAAACAGG